rnacentral:lncRNA from 7 species
UUGAACUCUAAAGAUUUAUCUUGCAGUCUUUGGCACUUCAAAAUAUUAUUUUUACUACCACUGAAUUGUCUUCAUUUUCUUCCUCUCAUUUUUAUUCCUUAGUAAAUAGUUUAUAAUUAAGAAAAAAAAACUUCUUGUGGUACCAAAGCACAUCUCCUGACCCACUGCUGUGCAAAUGCAUGUAUAACCACUUGUUUGUUUGUACUUUUACAGGUGUUGGUUGCUUCUGUGCAGAUAUGGAACGUGGUUAAAGUUUUAUAAUGGAAAAUCUGACAGGCAGUUAACUAAUCCAUGAGUCAUAUUUCGUAAGUGCCUAAAGGUCUCUGAUGUUCGACCUUCAUUUGAUACCCUUGCCAUCAUGGAGUUAUACAUAACCCAUCUGAAGAACAUUCUUUAUAUAGAUGACUGCAUGCUGCCCUUUUAUACCUGCAAGAAUGAGCGCUGCACUUACUGAAACAGGGAAGUCUACUGCCUGCCUUUCCACCCCUCUCUCUCUGUGGCUGUUUACAGAACUGCAGAGUGCUUUUCAGGCUGUCAACUUCCCCUUAUCCUCCUUGUUUCCUGAUUCCCUGAGCUUGUGUAGAAACUGAUGCUGCGGCAGGGCAAGCCUCAUUUGGGUGCAACUGGAUAUUGUGCCAAUUUUAUUCCAGCUCCAUUAACGUAUGGCAACAAUACAGACAGUACAUCGCCUGACAAAGAACUCAUAGUCCUCCUCUGGAUUUAUGUAGCAAGAUUUUGGCAGUGGGGUGGCCUGCAAGAAGCCAGCAGCUGCCCCGUGUCAGAUCACAGCCCUUGUAGGAGCAGCCCAGGCCUGAGCUGCAGCCCAUGGAGAGCAGCCUGCAGAGGGGCAGGAGGGCUGAGGGAGCUGCCGCCUGUGGGGAACCGUGUGGAGCAGUGCCUGAAGGGUGGGCUCCAUGGUGCGGAGCUGUGUUGGAACAGUGCUGGGAGAGCUGCAGCAUGUGGAAAGCCCAUGUGGGAUCAGACCAGGAAGGAUGCCAUCCCAUGGGACGGACCCACACAGAACAGAAGCAGAGAGUGAUCAUGGAAGAGCAGAAGACAUGAAGCUUUAUGGACUGACCGCAGCCCCCUUUCCCUAUUCCCCUGUGCUCGUUGAGGGAAGGAGGUAGGAGUUGAGCCUGAGAAAAGGUGGGUGGAGGAGAGGUGUUGUCAGUCUGUUUUUAUUUCUCAUUGCCCUAUUACUAAUAGGCCAUAAAUAAAAUAAAUCUUCCCCAAGUAGCCUAUUUUGCUUGUGACAGUAAUCACUGAGUGGUCUCCCUAUCUUUCUCUCAACCGAUGAGCUUUUCCAUUGUAUUUUCUCUUUCUGAAGAGAAGUGAGAGAGCAGCUUGGUGAGCACCUAGUGACCUGCCAAUGUUAUCCCACCACAAAAACAAUAAAAUCCUAAGUCCUUGAGCCUGCACUAAGAAUACAGAGUCAUAGAAUCUCAAGGUUGGAAAGGACCUACAAGAUCAUAUAGUUCAACUGUUCUCCCAUUACCCUUGCUACCACAAGCCACUAAACCGUAUCUCUUAGCUCCUCAUCCAGACACCUCUUGAACACCACCAGGGAUAGUGACUCCACCACCUCCCUGAGCAGGCCAUUGCAGUGCCUGACCGCUCUCUGAGAGAAAAAGUUUUUCCUUGUGUCUAAUAUCCACCAGGACUCCUAAUUUGUGUACAGGUAGAUGAGUAAAGUAGAAAAGGAAAGUGAUGAAUGCAUCCAAAGCAACAAUUACAGCACAGAGGAACCAUUGUGUCCAAACUCACUGCCCUGCUCCAGGCUUUGAGAUGUAUUCUGAAAAUACAGUUACUCUACCGGUGAUGGAUGGGGUACCCAAGCACAUGAAAGCCAACGUAGAAUUGAUGGUGUGAAGAAAACUCAUGUUAGUUAACUGUUUUAAAGUACAGAGUGGAGAGAAAUUGGAAGGAUAAGUGUUAACUGCACUGUACAAUGUUGGCCUUCCAGACCCACCUGCAGGUGCAGAAGCAGAGGGUGGACGUGCUGUAGAGAGGAACUGUGGGCUUUCCUUAGAACAGCCUGAGAGCAUUUCAGUAACCCCAGCGCUUAUGAUACGUCCCAGGGAAAUCAUACUGCAGCUGACUGCCUAGGUCACAUAUGUUUUUAAUAGAAACAUUGAAAAUUGUUUCAAGAUUGAGGCGUGUACAUGUUAAACGUUGAGGAGCUGAAGAACACAUAGAACUGUACUAAAUUGGUUUCUCAUACAGGCUGACAAAACACUCGGGAUGCAUCCUAAUCCCAAGUGCUCCCAUAAAAGCCUGCGUAUCCUUGUCCUCUCCAACCACCAAAUCAAUCUUAAACUUUUAGGCGAGGUUGCUGAACUUGCAGUCUGAUUUAAUCACUUUUCCGUCAGGAAUUGGCAAAGCUGAGAAAUAGUCUGUGGCUAACUUCAGCGUGUUUUAUAUGUUUGUGAUAUCUGUACUUUUCUAUUUUCAACGUAUAACUAAUAAAAAAAAUAAUCCCCAUUAUGCAUUUGUUAUGGAAUAAUAAUACUUACAGGAAUCAAAAGAUUACUACUAUAUGUCUUCUUUACUGCAGAAGGAGUUACAAUGAGGAGCCCUGAGGUGGCCCAGAGGGCAGGAAAGGACAACAUUCAAAACUCCAGCAACCAGUGAAAGAGGAAUUAAGGUAUUACUCACCGAAGCCUCUACAAAACCAGGCUUAAAUGCAGUUGGAAGCCUUUGCCAACUCUGGAACUCAAAUUAAAGUCUGCUAUCCCAGAAGCAAUAGCAGCCAGAGGGAAUUGGGAAGGGAUCAAGGAAGAGUGGGGUGGGAGACAAAAUCUCAAAGACCACCAAGAUGAGAGGUAUUCACCACCUUAGGCAUUAUCACACGAAGGCUGCAUGCCCUGCGGAGCCUUGAUUGCCCAACAGAAGUUAAUAUGUUGAGCACAGGGUUUCUUGGUCAGUUAUGGAGGAGGCCAAGCUAGACAAUCUGAGUCUGAAUAGUUUACAACGUGGAGUUUGAGUUUGAGCACCCUGCUGCUUGCUCUGU